rnacentral:lncRNA from 1 species
CUCCCCGCCCCUGCCUCCUCCCUCUUCCCUCCUCCCUCCUCCCUCCUCCACCGCGCAGACCGCCCAGCUCAGCAAGUCCUGCGGCAAAGGCACUUCGGCGCCCAGUUGUUGCCCGGGCGCAGCGCCGACUCGGCCAGGGGACGGACGCCCCUGCUCAACCGCAGCCUGUCGCCCUCACCUCCGGCCGGGCCUCUCCUGCCUGGUGGCGCCCGGGGCCUCACAUCCUCGCCCCAGCCUUGCUGAGAAUGCCUCCCAGGAGCUGAGGGCCACUUGCUGGGAAGCCCCUGCUCCUCGGCCUUUUGGGGGAGGCAGUGGAGGGGCUUCUGGAAGACAAGGAUGGGAAUCUCUGUGUCACGAAGGCCACCACCGGCUCCAGACACUGUGGUCUCUUCCCUGGACUGUGCGUAAGCUGCUCACGGCUGGAGUGCACGUCCCUGCACUCCGCUGUUGAAUUUCUGCCCAGCC